UACGGAGGGUGCAAGCGUUGUCCGGAUUCAUUGGGUUUAAAGGGUGCGUAGGCGGCCUGGUAAGUCAGCGGUGAAAUCCCCCCGCUCAACGGGGGAACUGCCGUUGAUACUGCCGGGCUUGAGUUCGUGCGAGGUCGCUGGAAUGCGUGGUGUAGCGGUGAAAUGCAUAGAUAUCACGCAGAACACCGAUUGCGAAGGCAGGUGACUGGCACGCGACUGACGCUGAGGCACGAAAGUGUGGGGAGCAAACAGG
rnacentral:rRNA from 1 species